GACGUAGGAUGCGAGCGUUAUUCGGAUUUAUUGGGCGUAAAGCGUGCGUAGGCGGCUGUUUAAGUCUGGUGUUAAAGCUAGGGGCUCAACCCCUGUGGUGCAUCGGAUACUGGGCAGCUUGAGUGCGGUAGGGGAAGGUGGAAUUCCGAGUGUAGCGGUGAAAUGCGUAGAUAUUCGGAAGAACACCGGUGGCGAAGGCGACCUUCUGGGCCGCAACUGACGCUGAGGCACGAAAGCCUGGGGAGCGAACAGG
rnacentral:rRNA from 1 species